rnacentral:rRNA from 1 species
AGUGAACGCUGGCGGUAGGCCUAACACAUGCAAGUCGAACGGCAGCACAGUAAGAGCUUGCUCUUACGGGUGGCGAGUGGCGGACGGGUGAGGAAUACAUCGGAAUCUACUUUUUCGUGGGGGAUAACGUAGGGAAACUUACGCUAAUACCGCAUACGACCUACGGGUGAAAGCAGGGGAUCUUCGGACCUUGCGCGAUUGAAUGAGCCGAUGUCGGAUUAGCUAGUUGGCGGGGUAAAGGCCCACCAAGGCGACGAUCCGUAGCUGGUCUGAGAGGAUGAUCCGACACACUGGAACUGAGACACGGUCCAGACUCCUACGGGAGGCAGCAGUGGGGAAUAUUGGACAAUGGGCGCAAGCCUGAUCCAGCCAUACCGCGUGGGUGAAGAAAGCCUUCGGGUUGUAAAGCCCUUUUGUUGGGAAAGAAAAACAGCAAGUUAAUACCCCGCUGUUCUGACGGUACCCAAAGAAUAAGCACCGGCUAACUUCGUG